UAGCCUACGGGGCGCAGCAGUGGGGAAUAUUGCACAAUGGGGGAAACCCUGAUGCAGCAACGCCGCGUGAGUGAAGAAGGCUUUCGGGUUGUAAACUUCUUUUCUAAGGGACGAAGAAAGUGACGGUACCUUAGGAAUAAGCUCCGGCUAACUACGUGCCAGCAGCCGCGGUAAUACGUAGGGAGCGAGCGUUAUCCGGAUUUACUGGGUGUAAAGGGAGCGUAGACGGCAGCGCAAGUCUGGAGUGAAAUGCCGGGGCUCAACCCCGGAACUGCUUUGGAAACUGUGCGGCUCGAGGGCGGGAG
rnacentral:rRNA from 1 species